rnacentral:rRNA from 1 species
AUGACUUCUGUCGCCGACGGUGUUUCAGGUGAUCAUAGAGCUGAUGAGCAACAGCAGAAGCAAGCUGCUCAAGGGAACCAGGAAGAGGCCCCAGCUACUAGUAUAGGUAGUCAGGCAAUGGUGGCAACACCUGCCACAGAUUAUGUCACACCCUAUGGCCACCAGGAAGCUUGCCAUGCAAUGCAGGGUCAAAUUGUCGAUCCAUUCUAUGGAAGCCUUUAUGCGGCCUACGGUGGACAACCUAUGAUGCAUCCACCAAUGGUCGGAAUGCAUGCAGCCGCAAUACCGUUGCCUACUGAUGCAAUUGAAGAGCCUGUGUAUGUGAAUGCAAAGCAAUAUAAUGCCAUAUUAAGGCGGCGCCAAUCUCGGGCUAAAGCAGAGUCAGAAAGGAAGCUUAUCAAGGGCCGCAAGCCAUAUCUCCAUGAGUCAAGGCAUCAACAUGCCUUGAAAAGGGCCAGGGGAGCCGGAGGCCGGUUUCUUAACGCAAAGUCAGAUGACAAUGAAGAGCAUUCUGAUUCCAGCUCCAAAGACAAGCAGAAUGGCGCUGCACCCCGCAGCAGUGGCCAAUCCUCCCAAUCUCCCAAAGGCGCAACUUCGGCCGAUAAGUCGGGGAACCAUGAAUGA